rnacentral:rRNA from 1 species
AUACGGAGGAUGCAAGCGUUAUCCGGAUUUAUUGGGUUUAAAGGGUGCGUAGGCGGUUUGCUAAGCGGGAGGUGAAAUGCCGGCGCUCAACGUCGGAAGUGCCUCCCGAACUGGUGGACUUGAAUGACUCUGCCGUGGGAGGAAUGUGUAGUGUAGCGGUGAAAUGCUUAGAGAUUACACAGAACACCGAUUGCGAAGGCAUCUCACGAAGGGUUGAUUGACGCUGAGGCACGGAAGCGUGGGGAUCAAACAGGAUUAGAUACCCUGGUAGUCCACGCAGUAAACGAUGAUGGCUAACCGCUGGGCUUAUCAGUUCAGUGGCCAAGCGAAAGCGAUAAGCCAUCCACCUGGGGAGUACGACCGCAAGGUUGAAACUCAAAGGAAUUGACGGGG